CUGUGUUCUGCAAUGACAACUGUAAAAUCUUUAUCGGUUGGGUUUUUGGGAGGCUUGUACUGCUUUCUUUUAGUUAACCUCUUUUGGAACUAUACUGCCUUGGUUGAUGCAAUUCAUAAUGGUGAAGGCAAGUGCUGGACAACCAUGAUCCAGAAGAUUCAAAUACGAAGCUAGAUCGAGGAAAGGAAAAAGUUCGGGAUUAGUAGACUUUUUUUGUUUACAAAUAAGUAUCAAU